rnacentral:rRNA from 1 species
GAGAGGCCCAAACGUUAUUCGGAUUUACUGGGCUUAAAGAGUUUGUAGGCGGUUCGGUAAGUGAGAUGUGAAAUCCCUCGGCUCAACCGAGGAAUUGCGUUUCAAACUGCCGGGCUCGAGGGAGAUAGAGGUGAGCGGAACUGAUGGUGGAGCGGUGAAAUGCGUUGAUAUCAUCAGGAACACCAGAGGCGAAGGCGGCUCACUGGGUCUCUUCUGACGCUGAGAAACGAAAGCUAGGGGAGCAAACGGGAUUAGAUACCCCGGUAGUCCUAGCCGUAAACGAUGAGCACUGGACCGGAGCUCUGCACAGGGUUUCGGUCGUAGCGAAAGUGUUAAGUGCUCCGCCUGGGGAGUAUGGUCGCAAGGCUG